AGAGUUUGAUCCUGGCUCAGGAUGAAUGUUGGCGGCGUGCCUGAGAUAUGCAAGUCGAACGAUUCUAUCGCAAGAUAGAGUAGUGGCGGACGGCUGAGUAACACGUAGGAAUCUCCCCCUUUCUGAUGAAUACCUCAUCGAAAGAUGAGCUAAUACGUCAUAGUGUCUCGCUUUGGCGAGACUAAAGAGCGUAACUGCUUGGAAAGGGAUGAGCCUGCGUUCUAUCAGGUAGUUGGUAGGGUAACGGCCUACCAAGCCUACGACGGAUAGCUGGUCUGGGAGGAUGGUCAGCCAGAGGGGCACUGAGACACGGGCCCCACUCCUACGGGAGGCAGCAAUCAGGAAUAGUCGGCAAUGGGCGAAAGCCUGACCGCGCGACGCCGCGUGUAGGAUGAAGCUCUAACGAGUGUAAACUACUGUAGUAGAGGAAGAAAGGUCCCGCUUAGCGGGACUAUGACGGUACUUUACUAGAAAGGGGCCGCUAACUGCGUGCCAGAAGCGUCGGUAAUACGUGGGCCCCAAACAUUAUCCGGUUUUAUUGGGCGUAAAAGGUCGUGUAGGCGUCCUGUCAAGUCCUGUUUUAAAUACUGUGGCUCAACCACAGAACUGGAUGGGAUACUGACAGGAUUGAGUUUUCUUAAGGGAGACUGGAACUUAGGGAGGAGUAGUGAAAUGCGUUGAUACCCUAGGGAGCACCAGUGGCGAAGGCGAGUCUCUGGAAGAAGACUGACGCUGAGACACGAAAGCUAGGGGAGCGAAGCAGAUUAGAGACCUGCGUAGUCCUAGCCCUAAACGAAUGCCUGCUAGCUGCAUGUUUUCCCUUUUGGGAGGACGUGUGGCGAAGGUAACCCGUUAAGCAGGCCGCCUGGGGAGUACGGCCGCAAGGUUGAAACUCAAAGGAAUUGGCGGGGAGGCACACAACCAGUGGAACAUGUGGUUUAAUUCGAAACGAACCGAAGAACCUCACCAAGGUUUGACAUGCUAGAGUUCUAUCUCUAGGAAACUAGAGAGAUCCGCAAGGAGGCUAGCACAGGUGCUGCAUGGCUGUCGUCAGCUCGUUCCGUGAGGAGUGCCCUUAAGUGGGACAACGAGCGCAACCCCCAUCCUGUGUUAUAUUUGUCACAGGAGACUGCUCCGCCUUUGGCGGAGAGGAAGGAGGGGCAGAUGUCAAGUCAGCAUGGUCCUUAUACCUUGGGCUACACACAUGUUACAAUGAAGGGAACAACGGGCUUUGCGAGCGCGCAAGUGUAAGCAAAUCCCUGAAAUCCUUUCUCAGUGGGGAUUGAGGUCUGCAACCCGACCUCAUGAACGCGGAAUUGGUAGUAAUCGCGGAUCAGCUAUGCCGCGGUGAAUACGUUCUUGCCUCUUGCACACACCGCCCGUCAAACAAACAAAGUCGGGAGUAUUUGAAUCAGCCGUCUGGCUGAGAGGAUAUUCUCGGCGAUGGGUGUUAAGUCGUAACAAGGUAUCCGUUUUGGAAGAAGCGGAU
rnacentral:rRNA from 1 species